GCGAUGGGACUGAAAUAAAGAGCAGCACUAGUGGGGGCUCUCGGCUGGGCUGCCACAGCCCGGUGCCAGGACAGGGAGGAAUGGCCUCACACUGAAAAAGAGACAUCUCACUCGACCUGUGCUUCCAUUUUAAGGGGUGAUGACCUGAAUCUCCCAGGACUGUUCAGGACAUCAAGACAGACCCAAGGCAGACUCAGCCUACACCAUGCAUGGAUCAGUAAACCAGGUAAUCCAGGCUGACUGGAGCACAUUGGCUGAUUGUGGCACAUUCCUGUUGCUCUGCAAGAAUCAGAACAUGCUGAGUUGGGAUGGACCCAUCAGGAUCGUUGAGGACACCCCAAGAAUCCCACGACGUGCCUGAGAGAGAGGCUCAAAUAUCUCUUGACCUCUGUCAGGCUUGAGUCCAUGAUCACUUUCUAUGAGUGAAAUUAAAUAUCUUGACUUGGUUUAUCACCAGUUUCUUCCUUUAGUGAUCCCACUCUGGCUCUCCAGAACUGAAGUUCAUUUUAGGUGGUGCUGCAUCCUUCUGCAGCUGUGUGACUGCACCUGUAUGUGCUGAAAUCCAGUCCUGCUCUGGAAGCUGUUAAAUAGAGAAUAUAUGAAAAAAAUUCAAGUGUGAGAUCCAUUCAAUCAGUGCUAUUUUAUGCUGCCAAGCAAAAGGAAAAGAGAAGGCACUGGA